UACGUAGGGUGCGAGCGUUGUCCGGAAUUACUGGGCGUAAAGAGCUCGUAGGUGGUUUGUCGCGUUGUUCGUGAAAACUCACAGCUCAACUGUGGGCGUGCGGCGAUACGGGCAGGCUAGAGUUCGGUAGGGGAGACUGGAAUUCCCGGUGUAGUGGUGAAAUGCGUAGAUAUCGGGAGGAACACCAGUGGCGAAGGCGACUUCCUGGCCUGUUCUUGACGCUGAGGCGCGAAAGCUAGGGUAGCAAACGGG
rnacentral:rRNA from 1 species